CGGAGGGUGCAAGCGUUGUCCGGAUUUAUUGGGUUUAAAGGGUGCGUAGGCGGCUUUUUAAGUCAGUGGUGAAAGACAACAGCUCAACUGUUGCAGUGCCAUUGAUACUGAAGAGCUUGAGUACAGAUGAGGUAGGCGGAAUUUAUGGUGUAGCGGUGAAAUGCAUAGAUACCAUAAAGACACCUAUUGCGAAGGCAGCUUACUAAGCUGUAACUGACGCUGAGGCACGAAAGUGUGGGGAUCAAACAGGAUUAGAUACCCUGGUAGUCCACACUGUAAACGAUGAUCACUCGAUGUGUGCGAUAGACAGUACGCGUCCAAGCGAAAGCGUUAAGUGAUCCACCUGGGGAGUACGCUCGCAAGAGUG
rnacentral:rRNA from 1 species